AUCCAAGCCCGCCCCAGCUGCUGAGCAGGAGUUGCCCCGGCCACAUAAGACAAGGCUGGCACUCCUGUCCCCACAGCAUCUAUACUUACUUGCUCCUGACCAGCUCUCCCAAGACUCCAGGAAGUUAGGGAUUCUGCCUCAAAAAUAACGGAUUGGUCACUGGACAAUACAAAGAGGCUCUCAGGGCAGAGAACUCAGCACUGUGCCAAAAGCCCGUGUUACAGGCUCAGCCCUGCCAUGUGCAGCCUGUGUUAAAAAUGCAGCCCCGUAGCUCCCAAUUGCUCGCUGCUCCCCAGGCGAAGGGGAGACCCGCCUGUCCAGGUCCUCGGCUUCCAGUGCUCUCUCCCCGGGAGGCCCCUCUGCGUCUGCUGCACGCUGAGCUUCUGACACCCAUUUCCACUGCUACCUUAGGAAAAAAUAGUUCAAACACAGUCGACAUUUCAGUGGA